AUGUCAGAGGCCUAUGAAAAUCUAACACCAGUGAAGAUAUGUGAAGAUGAGAGUGAGCCAAUUUUGGGAUCUGGAAAAAAUAAUGUGAUGUCAGUCCAUCUAGACUAUUGCUCUGAACAACUGAGUAAAUUUGAGAUGGAAGAAUCUGAUGGGGAGGGAGAUAAUAUCAAUAUGGACAUGGAAUGUUUACCAGAAGAGCUAACCCUGGCUAUGACCUCUGUUAAGAGAUCUCUACUUGAUUCCCUGGAAAUGGCAGACACUAUGGUCAAGAAAAUCAACAACAAAAACUCACCUACAUGGGGCCCGGUGCUUGCUAACAAACCAAUGACCAGAAACCAUGGAGAUAUAAAGAUUAUGGAUAAAGCUUCGGCUUACAUGAAGAAGAAGAAUCUGGCGAUUCCAAUUACUUUCAAAGGGGCGCAAAUGGAGGAAUGUGAAUUGAAUUCUUGCAAAACUAAGCUACUUUUUGCACCAGUGGAAAGUUCUCUACGACGAUGGCCAGGCAACCUUGCUGCAACGAUGCAUCUUGCUGCUGGACAAGCGACGUGGGGAACUCCUCCGGAUCGGCUGGAGAUGAGGCUUGGGGCGACCAACUGA
rnacentral:rRNA from 1 species